AACGCUGGCGGCGUGCCUAAUACAUGCAAGUCGAACGGUCUUUCUAUGGAAGCUUGCUUCCACUGAGAAGAUAGUGGCGAACGGGUGAGUAACACGUGGGUAACCUGCCCAUAAGAGGGGGAUAACAUCCGGAAACGGGUGCUAAUACCGCAUAGUUUUCUUGAUCGCAUGAUCGGGAAGGAAAGACGGCCUUUGUGCUGUCGCUUAUGGAUGGACCCGCGGCGUAUUAGUUAGUUGGUGAGGUAACGGCUCACCAAGACGAUGAUACGUAGCCGACCUGAGAGGGUGAUCGGCCACAUUGGGACUGAGACACGGCCCAAACUCCUACGGGAGGCAGCAGUAGGGAAUCUUCCGCAAUGGACGAAAGUCUGACGGAGCAACGCCGCGUGAGUGAAGAAAGGUUUUCGGAUCGUAAAACUCUGUUGUCAGAGAAGAACAAGUUGGAGAGUAACUGCUCCAGCCUUGACGGUAUCUGACCAGAAAGCCACGGCUAACUACGUGCCAGCCGCCGC
rnacentral:rRNA from 1 species